rnacentral:lncRNA from 1 species
GCAUGUGCCACCAUGCCCGGCUAUUUUUUUUUUUUUUUUGAGACAAAGUUUCACUCUUGUAGCCUAGGCUGGAGUGCAAUGACGCAAUCUCGCAAUCUCAGCUUACUGCAACUCCAUCUCCCAGGUUCAAACGAUUCUCCUGCCUCAGCCUCCCGAGUAGCUGGGACUACAGGUGCCUGCCACCAUGCCCUGCUAAUUUUUUUGUAUUUUUAGUAGAGACGGGGUUUCACCAUGUUAGCCAGGAUGGUCUCGAUCUCCUCUCCGCCUGCCUUGGCCUCCCAAAGUGCUGGGAUUACAGGUGUGAGGCACCACACCCAGCUAAUUUUUGUAUUUUUAGUAGAGACGGGGUUUCACCUUGUUGGCCAGGAUGGUCUCGAUCUCCUCACCUCGUGAUCUAUCCACCUCGGCCUCCCAAAGUGCUGGGAUUACAGGUGUGAGCCACCACACCCGGCCAUAGGUUUUGUUUUUUUUUUUAAGUGUGCAUGUAAUUACUGACUUCCUAAUGAAUUGGAGGAAUCACCUCUCCUAGGCCAACACUUUGCAAUGUAACUCAUUCUUAUGCUUUGGCUAGCCUAACACUUUGAAAUCAAUUCAUAGUGAAAAUCCUUUCAAAGUGAAGGAUAAGACAGCAACUAUAAGCAAGGUAAAUCCGCUGGGAAAAUGACUAUACAUAGGCAAAGGAAAGCUUGAAGUGGUCAGACUUUUAUUCCCCCAGGGGAGAGCUGUAUUAUUCACACAGAGUAAACUGUAUCAAAACACAAUACAACUAAUGAUGGAAUAGUUACCUCUCAUUCUCAAGCAAUCCUAGCACAGAAAACCCUUCCCCUUGUAUCCUCAUUCUCUCCCUGAAUGUAAGAAGUAAACCCUGACUUUAAGCCUACUCUCAACUCAUACCUUUCCUAAGUCAGUUUUCAUUUGGACACUUGUGCUGUGACAUCUUUUGGAAGCUGGGCAUCAUACAGCCCGCCCAGGUCUCUAGCAGGAAGCAUCUCCCUGCUCCCUAUAUUAUUUUGAAUUUUCUGGGAAAAAGGAUUUCACAUGUGUACUUGGCCAUGUACCCACUAUGUAUCCAUUUGGUCUGACAACUUCUUAGAACUAGUUCUCUGUGCACAACGCCUUGCCAUACAUUGCUAGUGAAGAGUUUCAGAAAGGACAGUAAAUUCAGGGCAGGGAGAAUGAAGUUUUACUUAUAGCUAACACACUGCCCUUCACUGUAUUUUUUUUUUUUUUUUUUUUUUUUUUUUGAGACAGAGUCUCGCUCUGUCGCCCAGCCUGGAGUGCAGUGGCGCGAUCUCGAGUGCAGUGGUGCGAUCUCCGCUCACGGCAACCUCCACCUCCUGGGUUCACGCCAUUCUCCUGCCUCAGCCUCCUGAGUAGUUGAGACUACAGGCGCCCGCAACCACGCCCAGCUAAUUUUUUUGUAUUUUUAGUAGAGACGGGGUUUCACCAUGUUAGCCAGGAUGGUAUGAUCUCCUGACCUCGUGAUCCACCCUCCUCGGCCUCCCAAAGUGCUGGGAUUACAGGCGUGAGCCACCAUGCCCAGCCCCCACUGUAUCUUCUAUUCUUCUGUUAUCUAGGGCUAGUUUCCCAAUCUUGCCAAGGCAGAUUAUAAGGUAAUACAGAAAGACAAGUUUGAUACAUUAAUGCAUUCUAUUCCCUUUAGGCCCUUCCUUCUCCUCCCCCAGCCUGAGUAUGGACCAUGAGGAAUCCUGAUAUGUAAUAACCUUUGUCAAAGGCUUCUAUAUAGCCUUAGUGAAAAUCAAAGCACUUACAUUGCUUGUCACUGAGACUCACUAUAACUUGAAGAUUUAUGGUUCACGCUCCACAUGUCCAAGGAAUUAGCAGGUUUCUGAAGCUAAAGGGUCUCUGAAAGCUCAAGAGGCUGCUAAGCUUAAAGGGGCCCGAGAAUUGAAAGCUUAAAGGAAGAGGUGGAGCACCCCCUUCCACACCUGGCAGACCACAACUAGCUAAUGAAAUUUGCAAUGCUGGGUCAAUCUACAGGAAGGAAAAACAGAUAUACAGUCCCUGUUAGAAUAAUACUUUCAUAGCUAGGGUAAACACACAGAUAAAGAUUCUGAAAUUCACUUUAGGAAGCUUCCUCAUUUCAGGAACUGUCUGCAAAACAAAUAAAAAACUAAUAAAGUAGUCUUUUUUUUUUUUUUUUUGAGACGGAGUUUCGCUCUUGUUGCAGGCUGGAGUGCAAUGGCACGAUCUUGGCUCACCGCA